UGGAGAAUCCCGUGAACCAUCGAGUCUCUAAACGUAAGUUGCGCCUGAAGCCAUUAAGCUGAUGGCGCACCUGCCUGGGCGUCACAGCCGUUGCCCCCCCGGCACUUCCAUUGGAAGAGUCGGUGGGCGGACGAUGGCUUUCAGUGCGUCACCACGCGUGGUUGGCACAAAUGUUUAGUCCCCGGUGAUGAACGCCACGACAAUCGUUGGUUGUCAAACCUCGAUUGCCUGUUGUGCACUUUCACCGAGCUCUGGGCGGCUCACGAUGUUCACUGCUUUGCUUCGGUAGAGCCUUCAACGCGACCCCAGGUCAGGCAGGGUUACCUACUAAU
rnacentral:rRNA from 1 species